GGCUUUGUAACUCAGCUGAUAGAGCGCUUGCCGUGUUGAGGCCAGGUGUUUCUGUCGCUGGUUCGAAUCCAGUCGAAGCCC
rnacentral:tRNA from 1 species